rnacentral:rRNA from 1 species
UGGGGAAUAUUGCACAAUGGGCGCAAGCCUGAUGCAGCAACGCCGCGUGAGGGAUGACGGCCUUCGGGUUGUAAACCUCUUUUAGUAGGGAAGAAGCGAAAGUGACGGUACCUGCAGAAAAACGCACCGGCUAACUACGUGCCAGCAGCCGCGGUAAUACGUAGGGUGCGAGCGUUGUCCGGAAUUAUUGGGCGUAAAGAGCUCGUAGGCGGUCUGUCGCGUCUGCUGUGAAAACCCGAGGCUCAACCUCGGGCCUGCAGUGGGUACGGGCAGACUAGAGUGCGGUAGGGGAGAAUGGAAUUCCUGGUGUAGCGGUGAAUGCGCAGAUAUCAGGAGGAACACCGAUGGCGAAGGCAGUUCUCUGGGCCGUAACUGACGCUGAGGAGCGAAAGCGUGGGGAGCGAACAGGAUUAGAUACCCUGGUAGUCCACGCCGUAAACGUUGGGCGCUAGAUGUGGGGACCAUUCCACGGUUUCCGUGUCGCAGCUAACGCAUUAAGCGCCCCGCCUGGGGAGUACGGCCGCAAGGCU